UGGGGAAUUUUGGACAAUGGGCGAAAGCCUGAUCCAGCAAUGCCGCGUGAGUGAAGAAGGCCUUCGGGUUGUAAAGCUCUUUUGUCAGGGAAGAAACGGUGAGAGCUAAUAUCUUUUGCUAAUGACGGUACCUGAAGAAUAAGCACCGGCUAACUACGUGCCAGCAGCCGCGGUAAUACGUAGGGUGCAAGCGUUAAUCGGAAUUACUGGGCGUAAAGCGUGCGCAGGCGGUUUUGUAAGUCUGAUGUGAAAUCCCCGGGCUCAACCUGGGAAUUGCAUUGGAGACUGCAAGGCUAGAAUCUGGCAGAGGGGGGUAGAAUUCCACGUGUAGCAGUGAAAUGCGUAGAUAUGUGGAGGAACACCGAUGGCGAAGGCAGCCCCCUGGGUCAAGAUUGACGCUCAUGCACGAGAGCGUGGGGAGCAAACAGGAUUAGAUACCCUGGUAGUCCACGCCCUAAACGAUGUCUACUAGUUGUCGGGUCUUAAAUUGACUUGGUAACGCAGCUAACGCGUGAAGUAGACCGCCUGGGGAGUACGGUCGCAAGAUUAAAACUCAAAUGAAUUGACGGGGUCAUAGCUGUUUCCUG
rnacentral:rRNA from 1 species